UAAAAAUGUCGAACUAUCAGUACUGGGGAGUAUAAUUCUAAAUGUCUCUCACCAUUCUCUCUAGUGACACAUGGCCUCGGAAUGCCUUGACCGGAGCCUUCAACACUGAUCUAUGCACAGCAAGAUCGGGAAUGUGUAUUUAGUAACGUGUCGUUAAUAACGGUUAAUCACAGAGUGAAGUAUUUGUAUGUCUUCUGACUUACACGGGCUUUAAGCCAGACGUCACACCCCUAUGAAAUAGAGGGUUUCCGAAGAUUUUUCCAAUAGAGUUGCCCGAGCUGCAUCCACCUCCAUUCAUAGGCAAUAUAUGCGUCAUCGUCGCCAUACGGAAUCCCCUCUCACACCAAAGACGGAAAAAGGACCGUUUGGAAAGUGACUCUGGUGGCAAAAAAACGGUCAAAAUCUCUCCUUCGACAGAGAAUCAAGAUGUUCUAAAAGUGACAGGUCAGCGGGGUAGUCUACUUCUGGCCUUCCCCCUGUGGAAGCCGGGCCUCGUUGGAGCAGAGAGGAUGGGGUGAGGCUACUAGCUCGGAGUCUGCUACCAUCCAGAAGAUGGCCGCAACCACAAUGGCUGCAAAUCCCAGGGUAAGCAGAGUUUCCCUACUUGGUUGUAGGAGUAAAAGGAAUAACGUCUUCUUCUGGCUCUGCUACUUGCUUACAGUGGGAAAUGUGGAUCCAGGUGUCUUUCCCUAAGCACUUUACCGCCGUUGGGGUGAUGAGGGCGAUCUGAUGUGGUCCUUUCCACAUGGGUUUCAAAGGUUCUUAACUUCUGUCGUGCCUCCUGACCACUACCCAAUCUCCAUGCUGGAGAUGGUGAUGGGGACGGUUGUCUGGGGGAGUUUGGGCAGCAGAGACCUGUGAGUGAACAGCUCGAAUACAGUUAGUCAGAGCUAUACAGUACUUCCUCAUAGUGUCAUCUGACAGAUGCAGAUCCGGGACUGCAACUGGUGGUGAUGCAGGGGUCCUCAUGGGACGGGUGAUCAGUACCUCAUGUGGACUGUGUCCAGUUUUCCAGACUGGCGUGGAACGCAUUGAAAACAAGGCUAUGGGUAGCACAUCCACCCAGGUGAGUCCUGUUUGAGCACAUAUGUUUGCCAGUUUAUUUUUCAGAAGGCAGUUAUAGUGUUCUACAAAGUCCAGAACGUUGAAGGUGAAACGGUACUUGCAAAUUCCUCAUAACUUGCAUCAGG
rnacentral:lncRNA from 1 species